rnacentral:tRNA from 1 species
GGCUUCGUGGCUUGUAGGAUAAAAGCGCCUGUCUAGCGAAUUGGGAGUCGUGGGUUCCAAUCUCAUCGGAGACG